GCAGUCCUCAGAUCGGACGAGGUUUGUCCCUUCUUUUCCAGCACCUCCUGGAGACUUAGGGCCUCGACGAUCUUCUCCUCGAGGUGGGCGGCCCCAGCCAGGCGACCUUCCUCCGUCGGAGCUGCCUCCCUCUUAGCGAUCUUCACCGCCUCGACGUUGGCGACAAGCUGGUGUCCAAUCUGCAAGAAAGGUCGGGGAGUCAAUAUAAAGGCUAAAGAGUAAAUUAAGUAAAGAAGCAAGAAGGAGAAAAAAGUGAGUUAACCUACUUCGAGAAAAGUUCUUAGAGAGUCCC
rnacentral:lncRNA from 1 species